AGAGUUUGAUCCUGGCUCAGAACGAACGCUGGCGGCGUGUCUUAAGCAUGCAAGUCGAACGAUAACUCGAAGCUUGCUUCGAGGGACAGUGGCAAACGGGUGAGUAACACGUGGGUAACCUGCCUUCGGAUGGGGGAUAGCUCAAGGAAACUAGUGGUAAUACCGCAUAACGUCCAACCAUCAUAAGACGGAUGGAUUAAAGGCGCUUUCGGGCGUCAUCUGAAGAUGGGCCCGCGCACUAUUAGCUAGUUGGUAGGGUAACGGCCUACCAAGGCGACGAUGGUUAGCCGGCCUGAGAGGGUGUACGGCCACAUUGGGACUGAGAUACGGCCCAGACUCCUACGGGAGGCAGCAGCUAAGAAUAUUCCGCAAUGGGCGCAAGCCUGACGGAGCGACGCCGCGUGGAGGAUGAAGGCUUUCGGGUUGUAAACUCCUUUUCUUAGGGAAGAAUAAAGUUGGCAGGAAAUGGUCGACCGAUGACGGUACCUAAGGAAUAAGCCCCGGCUAAUUACGUGCCAGCAGCCGCGGUAAUACGUAUGGGGCAAGCGUUGUUCGGAUUCACUGGGCGUAAAGGGCGUGUAGGCGGUGUGGUAAGUCGGAUGUGAAAUCUCCAGGCUCAACCUGGAAACUGCAUUCGAAACUGCCAUGCUUGAGUACCGGAGAGGGAAACGGAAUUCCUGGUGUAGGGGUGAAAUCUGUAGAUAUCACGAAGAACACCGGUGGCGAACGCGGUUUCCUGGCCGGAUACUGACGCUGAGGCGCGAAAGCUAGGGGAGCAAACAGGAUUAGAUACCCUGGUAGUCCUAGCUGUAACGUGUGCACUAGUGUAAGUGGUUUCAAACCCACUUGUGCCGCAGCUACGCAUAGUGCACCGCCUGGGGAGUAUGCUCGCAGUGAACCUCAAGAUGACGGGCCCGCCAGCGGUGGACAUGUGGUAUCAUGACCCGAGACUUACAGUGGAUGCAUGACGGACGAAGAUCCUUCUCGGAGCGCCGCAUUCAGGGGCUUCAUGUC
rnacentral:rRNA from 1 species